rnacentral:rRNA from 1 species
ACAAUUAGCUGUUGGGACACUAGAUGUCUUAGUAGCGAAGCUAACGCGUGAAAUUGUCCGCCUGGGGAGUACGGUCGCAAGAUUAAAACUCAAAGGAAUUGACGGGGACCCGCACAAGCGGUGGAUGAUGUGGAUUAAUUCGAUGCAACGCGAAGAACCUUACCUGGUCUUGACAUGUACGGAAUCUCUUAGAGAUAGGAGAGUGCCUUCGGGAACCGUAACACAGGUGCUGCAUGGCUGUCGUCAGCUCGUGUCGUGAGAUGUUGGGUUAAGUCCCGCAACAAGCGCAACCCUUGUCAUUAGUUGCCAUCAUUAAGUUGGGCACUCUAAUGAGACUGCCGGUGACAAACCGGAGGAAGGUGGGGAUGACGUCAAGUCCUCACGGCCCUUAUGACCAGGGCUUCACACGUCAUACAAUGGUCGGUACAGAGGGUAGCGAAGCCGCGAGGUGAAGCCAAUCUCAGAAAGCCGAUCGUAGUCCGGAUUGCACUCUGCAACUCGAGUGCAUGAAGUCGGAAUCGCUAGUAAUCGCAGGUCAGCAUACUGCGGUGAAUACGUUUCCCGGGUCU